GACGGUCAUAAUAUCAGACAGUCGUCAUAUAUUUAAUCCUACCCAGAUAUGUUUAAUUUAAUUUACCUUUAAUUAAAAUAAAUUAAAAUUUUGGGAAUGUUAAAACUAUAUGUUGGAAAAAAAAUAUAACUAAAAAUAAAUAAAAUUUAAAAAUGCUUAAAUCAAUAACUAAAAAUAAAAAAUUUGAUAAAAUUCAUAAGCAC
rnacentral:lncRNA from 1 species